GAUGAACGCUGGCGGCGUGCCUAAUACAUGCAAGUCGAACGGACAGACGAUGAGCUUGUGCCGCUAACGUUAGCGGCUGGCGGGUGAGUAACGCGUGUAUCACCUACUUAUAUUUCGGGGAUGACUACGUAAAACCGGAUAUAAUACGAUAGAAUAUAUUGAACCGCAGUGGGCAAUGGUAAAUUACGGUUUUUGUGGUAGUUAUAGCUGCUUCCGCGCCGUAUUAGCUAGUUGGUAAGGUAACGGCCUACCAAGGCAACGAUGCGUAGCCGAACUGAGGGGGUGAUCGGCCACACUGGAACUGAGACACGGUCCAGACUCCUACGGGAGGCAGCAGUGGGGAAUAUUAGGCAACGGGCGCAAGCCUGACGCAGCAAGCCCGAGUGAGUGACGAAGGCCUUGGGAUCGUAAAACCCUGUUAUUAGGGAAGAACAGCUGUGGCAUUAAACAUCGCAGUAUUGACGGUACCUAAUAAGAAAGCACCGGCUAACUACGUG
rnacentral:rRNA from 1 species